rnacentral:tRNA from 1 species
CUUAGCUCAGCGGUAGAGCAUUUGCUUAGUAAGCAAAAAGUCACAGGUUCGAAUCCUGUAUUUG